ensembl:snRNA U6 U6 spliceosomal RNA
GUGCUUGCUUCAGCAGCACAUAUACCAAAAUUAGAAUGAUACACAGAAGAUUAGUAUGGCCUCUGUGCAAGGAUGACAUGCAAAUUUGUGAAGCAUUCCAGAAAAUU